ACAAUGAGAGGUUGUGCGAGUUAUUAUUAUUCUUAAUACAUGCCCAUCAUAGGGGAGACUGAGGCAGAAACUUUUUAGCUUUUAUGUUGUUAAUUAAUAAUGUUUAGGUUUAAAUAAUUAUGAAAUUUAUGAUCAUAUGUUAUGGAGAUAAUUAAAUCUGAAAUUUAGUCACUACCAAGUUAUACUUCAAUGUCCUAUCUAUAAAUCGAGUUAAAAGGUCGAUUUUUGGUGGAGCAUCGGGCAAUGUAUAACUGUGAAAUCAUAAUUCCACUUAGCCUCAUCUCUAUUGCCCUAUUUGCCUUUUGCAUUUUUCAAUUUUUGAUGGAUAGACCCAUAGAGAUAUAAAAUAUCGAGUGCUUACUCUCUAGAACGACGAGGACAAUUUAUUGUAGCGUUCAGCAUGAACAAUAAAGAAGCACAAGCAUGGCAACAUUCAAUUAUUAUGUGAACAUAAGCCUUUCUGUAACGAAUAAUAUUCUUAAAAUCUUAAUAAAUUAAUAAUUAGUAAUAAAAUAACCUUCUAAUUUUUACAAAAGGAGUUUGGUAUUAGAGUUCAAUAACUGCAUGCAUUGCAUUCAAUUGUACUUCAAGAACAGCGGCUUUUUCUAGAUCUCCAGAGCACGAUCUUGCUAGUAAAUCGUUGAAAAAAUGUGAACUCAACCUCAAUAGUGUGAAAAUAAGGUGUUUUUCUAAGUAUUUUCAUAACUUUAUAAAACAAUCAUAUUUUUUGGCAUCCUAGUUAGUUAAUUUAAUAUACCAUAAAUAUUAUAAGUACCAAUCUACUUUAAGAUUUUCUAAAAAUCCAGCGCUUCUAAAGCAAUGGAUAGUAAACUGCCGUUGCCAAGAUUGAACACCAACCAAAUGGUCAAGAAUCUGUUCUAAGCACUUCAAGGGCUCUGACAUCAUCAAGCACAAGAUCACUUGGAACUUUUCUUCUGUGCAAUUCCCUCUACCAAGUGGUAUAAUAAUAAUCUUCGGUCAGACAGUUUUCCUCCCCUUAUAAAAGAUUGAUUAUUCAACAAAAGAUUAAAGUAGGAACGAGAGGAAAUUGCUUAAGUCAAGAUAACAACCCCUUUCCAUUUUCCAAGGGAAACAAAGGAAGAUGGCAGGUAAAUAUGGAUAACAACCAUAUGGAAUUUAUUCGUAAACAUGGCUUAAUUGAUAAAGGUCCCUUGCAGAUCGACCAUGACUACAGCAAAGUGCCUAAUCCUAAUUCUUGCAUAGCAAUUUCGGACAAUAAAAAAAGUGGUUAGCACUUACAUUGCCGGAUUUGUAGUGAAAAAAUUGAAAAAAUGCAUUGAAUCUUUGUGGUGUCUUGACAACGAAUUCAGGGUUGAUUAUGCCUUAAUAAAAGAAAAAGAUUGGGAGGAUCGCAUCUAACAGCACUAACCUAUCCUUCUAAGGAUGUAUUUGAAGAAAAUGGGAUUUGCCGAGAGAUUCCAGCCUGACUCUUAAAAUUAGUAUUGCAGUUUUGAAAAAUAUUGGUUUUCGAAGAAAUUAGGUCUUUCAAUGCCUUAGUGGUCAUAUAUUAGAUUCAUCUCCAGAAUCUAAUAAUGUAUUUUCCCUUAUUAAAGCAAAUUUCUCGAUAUUAUACACAUAUAAAACUGUAUCGCUUGGGAAAGCUAGAAACUGAGACUGUAGAAGGAACCAAGAUUCGUAGUGUCCUCACGAAUCUUAUACAGUUUU
rnacentral:lncRNA from 1 species